rnacentral:rRNA from 1 species
AUUGAACGCUGGCGGCAGGCCUAACACAUGCAAGUCGAACGAGUGGCGGACGGGUGAGUAAUGUCUGGGAAACUGCCCGAUGGAGGGGGAUAACUACUGGAAACGGUAGCUAAUACCGCGUACCAUCGGAUGUGCCCAGAUGGGAUUAGCUUGUAGGUGAGGUAACGGCUCACCUAGGAGACGAUCCCUAGCUGGUCUGAGAGGAUGACCAGCCACACGGGAACUGAAAGGCGGACAAGACUCCGACGAGAGGCGGCAAUGGGGAAUAUUGCACAAUGGGCGCAAGCCUGUUGCAGCCAUGCCGCGUGUAGGAAGAAGGCCUUCAGGUUGUAGAGUACUUUAAGCGGGGAGGCGUUGCCCGCAGAAGAAUCACCGGCUAACUCCGUGCCAGCGGCCACGGUAAUAC